UUUCUGCAAUGUUAUGACCUGGGUCGUAAUUUUCCAGUAUUCAAUUUUACAUUGGUGUGGUUGCAUUGCAUUUUUUCUAGGGUUUGUUCAAAAUUUUUUCCCAGUAUUCAAUUCCACCCCUUCAUGUUUUGUUUUGUUUUGGCCCUUUUGAGUGAAUUCAGGCUGGGCUUGCCAGUGGAAUUGUCGAUUUCAAUUUUGCAAGCACUUAUUAAUCCACCAGUUUUUGUGAAGUAGUAGUUUACAAUUCAAUAAAUUGUAGAAGGAACUGAGUAUUGGAUGUGGGUUUGUGUACUUGCAGUGUUUUUGCCUAUCGAUAUGCUAUAUGGUACCCGAAAUGGAGAGUUUGGGAAUAUGCUUGAUGAUUAGAGGAGCUGAUUCCUAAUAUCCCAUCAUUGCCCAAUUUCUAAAUGAGAAAUUUUUUUCGCACUUGGUUACUUAAGGACAGAGAUCUUUUUUUUAUUUUUUUAUUUUGAACCGCAGAAAACUAAUUCGGUAAUUCCUAUAUCCCCGUAUCGUAAAUGGAUGACGGUCAUAAGAACUAGGAGAUAAGUAAACGGUAAAACUGAAAGGGAACAUAUGCAGUCAUGCACUGAUAAUAAAGGAAGGUAUCUGAAACUAAGAAAGCUUGCUAUUGAAUUCUUUACGGAGUAAAUUAAACAAACAUUGAACCUAAAUGUAAAUUAUAGUAUAUGGGAUUAUUUAAGAAAGCACUGUAAGGGAAAGUACAACACAGUUUGAGGUUGGUCUCGACAUAAUGAUUUCUCUCAUCAAGAAGAAAAAGACUUCCACCAUUUAGUCUAAAGAAAAUCCCCUUAGCAGCUAUAUAAAAGAUGAUGUUGACAGUUUCAUUAAUCAAAGCUACAUUAGAUGAAUUUCGUUGAGCCAAAUUCUACAGCUCUCCAUGUGGUGUUCAUGUCCGAAUUCUACAGCUCUCCAUGUGGUGUUCAUGAUUAAUUAUUCACCAUUUUGAUCAAUGGUGAUCCAAGUUUCCUUAGAACUUUUACCAUAUCCUUUAGACACAAGCCUUUGCCGCCUUUUAGCAAGCCAAGCUCCAUAACUCCUUAAUAGAUUGCUUGAAAUCUCAAAGAGAGUUGGGAAGAGACAAGUACACGUGAAAUUCUGAAAGACUCGGAUAUAAGUUAGGUGACAAUGUCGUUUUGUGCUAACUAGUGCAUCAUGCAGCUGAUGAAACUAUAAAAAUAUCUUACACGCAAUUCAGUUAUGCACUCUAUCACUCUUUUGUCAAUGUUUUCCUACGGGAAAGUCCUUGUUCGUGCUUGAAUUUUGCAUGUGCAUAUUCAACUUCCCUUCGAUACAAGUGGCAAAUCCUAAAUAGGGACUACCCAGGAAGUUACCAAGUUCACCAAAUAGAUUAUAUAUUGACCAAAUGCAUAUGAUACUUUCGUAAAGCUGAAAUGGAGUUAACAUUUCUGCUUGACUGAUAUCCUUCCUAAACUGACUUCUAAAGUAGUUUUGUUGCAUUUAUGAUGAAGUAUACGACUGGAGUGGAACAACUUGUUGCACAUGAUUAAGUUGUUACUUUGUUGUAUAUGCAAUAGCAUAAGCUUGGAAAAGUAGAACAAUUGUAAAAGUUUCAUGAAAGAAAUGUUGUAGCUAGAAGUGAUUGUACAAUGACUCAUCUUUGUCUCCUGUAAUGUGUUUGCGUACUGUUGAUAUUUUGGCAGACUAUGGGACAUACUUGUUCUCUAUCCCUUUUGUUUCUUUUAUUUCUUUUUUGCGUUGUGGGGUGGGGGUUGGGGGCGGAGCAUUAUUAUUAUUUAUUUCCUAGAUAACUAACUAAAGCAACAAAGCAAGAUUGGCUUGUCUUUAAACCCAAUAGGUAGGCUUGGUCUCCUCUUGAUUUGAGGAGUCAUUCGUUUAUUCGACGUGUUCCGUGCAGAUUGUUCUGAUUGAGGCACCUACCUGUGUAUUUGCUUACCAUUUAAGAACCUGCAAUAUGAUGCAAUUAGUUGUCCCGAGUUUCAAUUAUUGGAUAGGUUAGGAAAUUAAGUUAUUGUUGGUGAAUCUGACAUACUCUCACUAUAUUCCUUGCAUUUAAUGCAAAUAAGCAAACUAGUGGGAUUGAAGGGAAUCAAAGCCUCUCUAAACCAUAGAUCGCAUUUUAUUUGGUAAUUACCCUGGAAAUGGCUUCGUCAAUUCAAGUUCCUUUUGCAAAGUGCCAAGUGCCAGUACAACCCUUUUGUUGCCACAUGGCUUACCACUCCGCACAAGUCAUCUCCAUUAUUGGGGCAUUGCAAUCACCAUUCCUAGGAUGGACCACUCACCCCUCUCAGUUCAUGGAUAACUGUGGGUGCCCAGGCGUGCCACUAUCUAGUAUGACAGGCCUUAGUUGGGAGCAGAACUUCGAGCCUCCACUCGGGAGUCAGGACAAUAAGGAGGACAAGUGGUUUGGAAGUUCGCCAAGGUUGCUUGGGCAAUCCCACUUAGAGGUUGGCUCCACCUUGAACAGCCUGAGGACACAAAUGACCUUGACCAGAGCCCCUGACAUCUCUUGGAGCUCGUAUUACGCCGAGUUCUGAAACCUGGGGUAGUAGAGCUACCUUGGGAAAGUUGAACGAAGGAGGGAACUGCACUCUCCAAUGAAACUUGUUCUCCCUCCAGGUUCAACCUUGUACUCACGAACUUGCAGACCCAGUAUCUGUCCUCUAUAGUCUUCUCUGUCUCUCCAUACACUCUCUCUCUCUCUCUCUCUCUCUCUCUCUCUCUCUCUCUCUCUCUCUCUCUCUCUCUAUGAGUGGACAACUGUCAAGUCUCAACUCCCCCAGGCCCCACCUUUGCUGGUCUCGGGCCAUUCUAUUGCCCGCGAUCUUAGCCCAAUUGUCUACUCUGAUCGUCUCAUCAUAAGUGAAGAGCCAUAUUUGACUUGGUUGGGAAGACGGGUGCUCACUUCUUGCGGCCAAUAAGAAAACCCCAGCAACCACUGCUUAUAGGUAAACCGUAAAUGUAUUUCCAUGUAUUGUGGGCUCAUCGUACUAUAAUGGUAAUGCAAAGUGAGGUCCAAUGAAUUUCGAGGGCUGCAAUCUUGAUGCAUCUUUCAAAUGUUUUUCUCAGAUGUAGGAGCUGUAGUUUUGAUUGUACAUUUAUGCAUGUUUCAGUAGAGUAAACUCCACCGUUUAUGUUUAUGUUAGAUGCUCUUCCACUACCUAAGUACCUAUCUCCUCGGUGAUUCCUUUUGGUAAAACCUCUUACCCUUUUAUUUUCUUGUUAGAUAUCAGUCCCUCCCAUGCCCCAUGUUGUAGAUUGUACAAUUGAUUUUAUCAACGACCUUAAAACAGUAUCAUAAUAUAUGUACCAGUUAGAAUUUGAUUUCUUACAUGGUCUAGUUGUCUCAGUGAUGGCAAAAUUUUAGUACAAAAGGGUGCCAACGCUUGCUUUGUUCAGCUGCCUGCCCUUUUAGGGUGCAUGUUUAGGAGCAGAUUUACGGAUAACCGGAAAAUUCCUAUUUCCACGAUGCAUGUGCUUUUAAGAUAGUUAAAGGUUCAGCUAUGAGUGGAUUGAGUUGUGUACUUGUGUCUGAUAUUUUGAUGACACAAGUCUUUAACAUCACAACUGAGUUUUCAUAUGUAUUCCGGCUCUCAGAUCAUAUUUAUGAUAGCUUCCACGGAGUUCCACACUUGCCUUUUCCCAUUAUGUUUUACUAUUUGAUACCUGAUGAUCUUGUUCUUAUGCUGGCAUUGUACUUCAAA